rnacentral:ncRNA from 13 species
GGAGGGAUCCCUUAGUGGCCAAAGGAUCAGACUGUAAAUCUGACGUCAUAGACUUCGAAGGUUCGAAUCCUUCUCCCUCCA